rnacentral:rRNA from 1 species
AAUAGAUACCCAGGUAGUCCACGCCGUAAACGAUGAGUGCUAAGUGUUAGAGGGUUUCCGCCCUUUAGUGCUGCAGCCAACGCAUUAAGCACUCCGCCUGGGGAGUACGGUCGCAAGACUGAAACUCAAAGGAAUUGACGGGGGCCCGCACAAGCGGUGGAGCAUGUGGUUUAAUUCGAAGCAACGCGAAGAACCUUACCAGGUCUUGACAUCCCACUGACCGGUAUAGAGAUAUACCUUUCCCUUCGGGGACAGUGGUGACAGGUGGUGCAUGGUUGUCGUCAGCUCGUGUCGUGAGAUGUUGGGUUAAGUCCCGCAACGAGCGCAACCCUUGAUCUUAGUUGCCAGCAUUUAGUUGGGCACUCUAAGGUGACUGCCGGUGACAAACCGGAGGAAGGUGGGGAUGACGUCAAAUCAUCAUGCCCCUUAUGACCUGGGCUACACACGUGCUACAAUGGAUGGUACAAAGGGCUGCAAGACUGCGAAGUCAAGCCAAUCCAUAAAACCAUUCUCAGUUCGGAUUGCAGG